UUAUUGUCCUCUGCAAUGCUCCACCAAGCAGCCGACUGACACAGAAGCAGAGGCACAGGGCUUGAUAUCAGAUGGAGCUCAGUGAGUCUCACUGAAAAGCUGAGGGAAGGACUGAGAGAGGCAGAGUUGCAAAAUGGUCUUCACGUGGGUUCACUAAACCCGUCACCUGGCUGUGGAUCCUGUUCUCCUACCCGGGCUGCGUUUUCAAGAGCUGGUUGAUGGAUCUUUCUCUUUUCCUAAGAAAAGGCCACUCUGGUUCUCAACUCACUCUUGAAGCCGUGACAGGAGACAUUCACAUCUCAUUCCUUAAGGACUAUACAAAAGGUUUGCUCAAAGUCAUCUGCAGAUACAUCUUUUUUAGGAAUGAAUCCUUCGCACUGGAGACCAGAGAAGAGACCUGCAGUUGCAUUAUUAAUAAACAUCAAAGCAAAAUAUAAAAGUCUGAAUGGAAUAAAUAUUUUAGG